AGACCCUUUUCACAUGACGUCAGACAACAUCCGUUUUGACUCAAUCCAGUGUGUCUUUAGUUCCGGUGUGUGUAGUUAACGCUGUUUCUGGACUCUAAAGCUGCUGCCACAAAUAUGAUUUGAAGAUAUAUCACUAUUUGCAAACAGUUUUUCUUCAUCAACAUAAUCUAAACUGGAAAAAUUCCUCGCUGAUUGAUACCAGUUUGACUACGAAGGUUACACUUGAUUCUGCUGUGGUGCCUGUGGAAACGAAGUGCAUGAAGUUUGUGCUCAUGGUGGGAAAACCCUGUGGAUCACAUGGUGGGACUUCUGCUUCAAACUGCUCAUUACAGUUUAUCAUUACCUCUGUCAUCCACCAGUUCACUGCAGACUGGCACCCACCAAGUACCGUACAUGGAUGUCUUCUUAAAUUGUAAACCCUGAGUACAUAAUGUUGAAAUAAAAUUUAUGUCUUUUGUAACUACAUUUUCUCUAUCAAUGACUUAAAUUAUUAACUGUGGUAAUUAUGUUUGUGUAAUGUAGUAACCAUGUACAUGUACAGUGUUUAAUAUAAUUAUUAAAUAUAUGUUUUAAAGAAACAGCCACAAACCUUAUGUCUUUGCUCCACAAUAGCAGCUUUAAUUUUAGCAUUUCCUCUCCUCCACAUACUUUGUUGCCAGAUGUGUAAAAUUUACAAAAAGAAGCAAUUUAAAUGUAAAAGUUGCACAUAUGUAGAUUACUCAAGAGAAGCUAUUUACAAUAGUUUUUACA